rnacentral:rRNA from 1 species
CGGAGGGUGCAAGCGUUAUCCGGAUUCACUGGGUUUAAAGGGUGCGUAGGUGGUUUUGUAAGUCAGUGGUGAAAGCCCGGAGCUCAACUCCGGAACUGCCAUUGAUACUGCUUAACUUGAAUCAAGUAGAGGUGGAUGGAAUAUUACAUGUAGCGGUGAAAUGCUUAGAUAUGUAAUAGAACACCGAUUGCGAAGGCAGUUCACUAUGCUUGUAUUGACACUGAGGCACGAAAGCGUGGGGAUCAAACAGGAUUAGAUACCCUGGUAGUCCACGCCCUAAACUAUGUAAACUCGACAUUAGCGAAAUACAGUUAGUGUCUAAGCGAAAGCGGUAAGUUUACCACCUGGGAAGUACGACCGCAAGGUUG